rnacentral:rRNA from 1 species
GCUGACUAGCUAGCCAACACAUUUGGUCUAACACCACAACAUAAAUAACCCCACAAA